rnacentral:misc_RNA from 1 species
CAGAGUUGAAAAACUCCCUAACCCUUUGUUUACAUACCUGUCCAGUUGCUUCGGCAGGCGGCCCCAGGGCGGGGCCUCCAGCCUGCUCAGCAGGUGCCUGCCGCUGGCGCAAAAAACUCUUGUUAUAUAGUAACACUCUGAGUCUUACAAAAAUGAAUCA